rnacentral:rRNA from 1 species
UGGGGAAUUUUGGACAAUGGGCGAAAGCCUGAUCCAGCAAUGCCGCGUGUGUGAAGAAGGCCUUCGGGUUGUAAAGCACUUUUGUCCGGAAAGAAAUCCUUGGCUCUAAUACAGUCGGGGGAUGACGGUACCGGAAGAAUAAGCACCGGCUAACUACGUGCCAGCAGCCGCGGUAAUACGUAGGGUGCAAGCGUUAAUCGGAAUUACUGGGCGUAAAGCGUACGCAGGCGGUUUGCUAAGACCGAUGUGAAAUCCCCGGGCUCAACCUGGGAACUGCAUUGGUGACUGGCAGGCUAGAGUAUGGCAGAGGGGGGUAGAAUUCCACGUGUAGCAGUGAAAUGCGUAGAGAUGUGGAGGAAUACCGAUGGCGAAGGCAGCCCCCUGGGCCAAUACUGACGCUCAUGCACGAAAGCGUGGGGAGCAAACAGGAUUAGAUACCCUGGUAGUCCACGCCCUAAACGAUGUCAACUAGUUGUUGGGGAUUCAUUUCCUUAGUAACGUAGCUAACGCGUGAAGUUGACCGCCUGGGGAGUACGGUCGCAAGAUUAAAACUUAAAUGAAUUGACGGGGUCAUAGCUGUUUCCU